UUAACUGGAGGAAGGUGGGGAUGACGUCAAAUCAUCAUGCCCCUUAUGACCUGGGCUACACACGUGCUACAAUGGACAGAACAAAGGGCAGCGAGACCGCGAGGUUAAGCCAAUCCCACAAAUCUGUUCUCAGUUCGGAUCGCAGUCUGCAACUCGACUGCGUGAAGCUGGAAUCGCUAGUAAUCGCGGAUCAGCAUGCCGCGGUGAAUACGUUCCCGGGCCUUGUACACACCGCCCGUCACACCACGAGAGUUUGUAACACCCGAAGUCGGUGAGGUAACCUUUAUGGAGCCAGCCGCCGAAGGUGGGACAGAUGAUUGGGGUGAAGUCGUAACAAAGGUGCCUCGGG
rnacentral:rRNA from 1 species